rnacentral:rRNA from 1 species
CAGUCGCCGCGGGAAUACAGAGGAUGCAAGCGUUAUCCGGAAUGAUUGGGCGUAAAGCGUCUGUAGGUGGCUUUCCAAGUCCGCCGUCAAAUCCCAGGGCUCAACCCUGGACAGGCGGUGGAAACUACCAAGCUGGAGUACGGUAGGGGCAGAGGGAAUUUCCGGUGGAGCGGUGAAAUGCGUUGGGAUCGGAAAGAACACCAACGACGAAAGCACUCUGCUGGGUCGACACUGACACUGAGAGACGAAAGCUAGGGGAGAAAAUGGGAUUAGAUACCCCCGUAGUCCCUGUCUCUUAUAC